rnacentral:rRNA from 1 species
UACGGAGGGUGCAAGCGUUAUCCGGAUUCACUGGGUUUAAAGGGUGCGUAGGCGGGCAGGUAAGUCCGUGGUGAAAUCUCUGAGCUUAACUCAGAAACUGCCAUGGAUACUAUUUGUCUUGAAUAUUGUGGAGGUAAGCGGAAUAUGUUAUGUAGCGGUGAAAUGCUUAGAUAUGACAUAGAACACCAAUUGCGAAGGCAGCUUACUACACAGUAAUUGACGCUGAGGCACGAAAGCGUGGGGAUCAAACAGG